rnacentral:tRNA from 1 species
GCGGGAGUGCUGGAAUGGCAGACAGGCACGCUUGAGGGGCGUGUGUGCUACGCACGUGUGGGUUCAAGUCCCAUCUCCCGCACCA